AGAAAUAGCAACAGGGUCCGGGUGCAAGGAGACCCUCGUCGCUAGACAUUGGGUCCCUAGACUGGAACCCCAAGUAAUGGUCAAGCUGGGUUCCCUUACCAGCCACUGGGAAUGUGGCACUGGACCUGGCCUUGGAUUGGAAAACGGUCUCAAGUGGAUGAAGGCAGCUGAUCCAGCAGGACUUUGAUACCCCAUUAGGGGAGGACUGUAAAGUGACCUCCUGGCUGGAGCAUUGAGUCGUGAAGAGGAAGCGCACAGAGUCCCAGAAAGCGAGUGGGGCCGUGGCAAGAGAGAGACGAUGGAAGAGGGCAUCAGACCUGGAAGGAGCUAAUCCCCAGAGCAGCCAGGAGGAGGUGUCACCCUAGCGAAGGUACCGUAUGAUCAAGAGUUAUAGAUGUCCCGUUCCUGAGAUUUACCUAAACUCUAGAAAUUGGCACUAAGGCUUGGUCUUCCCUACAAAGUUAGGUUGACACAAGCUGCCUUACAUCAACAUAGCAGUGCAUGUCUCCCACCAAUGUAAGCUCACCAUUACGCUAACAUAGUAAUACCACCUCCCUGAGUGGUGUUGAGCCACGGUCAAUGUACUGAGGUUGACACAGCAGAGGACUCAGGAUGACAUGUUCAGUGAGAUCCUGCAAGCCAGAGCUGCGCCAGAUCGUGAGCAAAGGGCCUGGAGGGUAAACAUGGCAGACAGCCUGGAGAAGGAAAGACUGGAUAGGAGAGAGUCCCAGCAGGAAAAGGAGAGGGAGAUGCACUAGGACAGAAUGGACCUUCUGUGUCAGUAAACGCAGAAGCUGCAGACUCUUUUGGACCUACAGGUUCAAAAAGCCCAGACUCGCCUCUCUUUGCUGUCCAUGGAAAACUUCACUGCAGCAUCUCCCUACAUGUCCCCUCAACAUUUCACAUGGCAUCAGGAGCCGCAUCCCUACCCCCAUCACUCCACGCCAACGGACAUUAAGGACAGCCGCAACUUAACAUACACUGACCUGUGAAAACCAGAGUUGCUGUAUGUGUAGCUAAAAUGGACAUGCAUGUUCUUUCCCUUUUUAAGUUCUGUUCCAUUAAUUUAUUGAGUUUUUUAAUGCAUUUGCUUUUAAAUGGCACAGAGUUUUCUUUGCACUGAUGUUGUUACUGAAUAAAAUUCUAUUUGGAAAA